UCCUGGUUCACCGGUUGACGCUCUACCACUGAGCCACGCCGGCCGGGCAAGAUCAGGUGGUUUUCCAAGUGGAAGAAUCCACAUGGGCCAUGGCAUGGAGGCAGGUGGCCAGGAGCCGUCGGAGGUCUGUGCACGGGAUAGUCCCAAGCCUUAAAAACAGGACACACACGCUUCCUCCUGUUCCUCUGGGCGGAGCAUAAUGAAACCUGGGAGCAGAAGAGGGGCUCCCCAGCGCCAGGGCCGUGUCCGCCGGCUUCCUGGCUGUCCCCUGAAGGGAUGCUCCCAGGAACCAAGUGAGGCGGCCUUGAAGAACACAGACAUCCCUGCAAGCAAGCCGUGGACACUGGUGCAUAACCGCAAGGGCUCACAGACGCUGGGGGCUGACUCCGUGCGGCCACGGGAAUGUCCUGCCGGAGCCUCGUGAGAGCCCUUGCUAGGCGGGUGCUGUCACUUGCUCACUCUGCAGAUGAAGAGGCAGAUUGGAGAGGUUGUACGGCUUUUCCAGGACCGUACAGCUAUUCUGGAGGUCAGACAUCAGCUGUGGGUCUCCCUGUGUUGAAAUCAAGGUGUCAGCAGGACUGGUUCCUUCCAGGGGCCCAGGGAAGAACGUGUCCCUGCAGGAAGGACGCCAAGCGACCAGCCUCCAGCCCCAGCUACCACCCCUGAAAGUGGCGGAAACCGAGGCUAAGGACGGGAAAGUCCCCGAGAAGGAUGAGAAAAGCAAGCACACGCAUAGUUUCAAGGUA